UACGUAGGGUGCAAGCGUUGUCCGGGAUUAUUGGGCGUAAAGAGCUCGUAGGCGGUUCGUUAUGUCGGAUGUGAAAGCCCUUGGCUUAACCGAGGAAGUGCAUCCGAAACUGGCGAGCUAGAGUACGAAAGAGGAUCGCGGAAUUCCCGGUGUAGAGGUGAAAUUCGUAGAUAUCGGGAGGAACACCGGUGGCGAAGGCGGCGAUCUGGGUCGAUACUGACGCUGAGGUGCGAAAGCGUGGGGAGCAAACAGG
rnacentral:rRNA from 1 species